rnacentral:rRNA from 1 species
UGCCAGCAGCCGCGGUAAUACAGAGAGUGCAAGCGUUAAUCGGAAUUACUGGGCGUAAAGCGCACGUAGGUGGAUAUUUAAGUCGGGUGUGAAAGCCCCAGGCUCAACCUGGGAACUGCAUCCGAUACUGGGUAUCUAGAGUAUAGUAGAGGGAAGUGGAAUUUCCUGUGUAGCGGUGAAAUGCGUAGAUAUAGGAAGGAAUACCGAUGGCGAAGGCAGCCUCCUGGACCAACACUGACGCUGAGGUGCGAAAGCGUGGGGAGCAAACAGGAUUAGAUA